rnacentral:rRNA from 1 species
CGUGUAGGCGGUCCGCUAAGUCUGAUGUGAAAGCCCGGGGCUCACCCCCGGAAGGGCAUUGGAAACUGGCGGACUCGAGUCCCGGAGAGGAAGGUGGAAUUCCUGGUGUAGCGGUGAAAUGCGUAGAUAUCAGGAGGAAUACCGGUGGCGAAGGCGGCCCUCUGGACGGUGACUGACGCUGAGACGCGAAAGCGUGGGGAGCAAACA